UGCAGUGUGCCGCAGUGGUAAGGAGCAGGACUCGUAAUCCUAAAGGUCGCUGGUUCGAUUCCCUGCUGGGCCACUGCUG